rnacentral:rRNA from 1 species
AUGCACGCUGGCGGCGUGCCUAAUACCUGCAAGUCGAGCGAACAGACCAGGAGCUUGCUCCUCUGACGUUAGCGGCGGACGGGUGAGUAACACGUGGAUAACCUACCUAUAAGACUGGGAUAACUUCGGGAAACCGGAGCUAAUACCGGAUAAUAUAUUGAACCGCAUGGUUCAAUAGUGAAAGACGGUUUUGCUGUCACUUAUAGAUGGAUCCGCGCCGCAUUAGCUAGUUGGUAAGGUAACGGCUUACCAAGGCAACGAUGCGUAGCCGACCUGAGAGGGUGAUCGGCCACACUGGAACUGAGACACGGUCCAGACUCCUACGGGAGGCAGCAGUAGGGAAUCUUCCGCAAUGGGCGAAAGCCUGACGGAGCAACGCCGCGUGAGUGAUGAAGGUCUUCGGAUCGUAAAACUCUGUUAUUAGGGAAGAACAAAUGUGUAAGUAACUAUGCACGUCUUGACGGUACCUAAUCAGAAAGCCACGGCUAACUACGUG